AGUGAACGCUGGCGGUAGGCCUAACACAUGCAAGUCGAACGGCAGCACAGUAAGAGCUUGCUCUUACGGGUGGCGAGUGGCGGACGGGAGAGGAAUACAUCGGAAUCUACUUUUUCGUGGGGGAUAACGUAGGGAAACUUACGCUAAUACCGCAUACGACCUACGGGUGAAAGCAGGGGAUCUUCGGACCUUGCGCGAUUGAAUGCGCCGAUGUCGGAUUAGCUAGUUGGCGGGGUAAAGGCCCACCAAGGCGACGAUCCGUAGCUGGUCUGAGAGGAUGAUCAGCCACACUGGAACUGGGACACGGUCCAGACUCCUACGGGAGGCAGCAGUGGGGAAUAUUGGACAAUGGGCGCAAGCCUGAUCCAGCCAUACCGCGUGGGUGAAGAAGGCGUUCGGGUUGUAAAGCCCUUUUGUUGGGAAAGAAAAGCAGCAGGUUAAUACCCCGCUGUUCUGACGGUACCCAAAGAAUAAGCACCGGCUAACUUCGUG
rnacentral:rRNA from 1 species